UACGGGGGGGGGCAAGCGUUGUUCGGAAUUACUGGGCGUAAAGGGCUCGUAGGUGGCCAACUAAGUCAGACGUGAAAUCCCUCAGCUUAACUGGGGAACUGCGUCUGAUACUGGAUGGCUUGAGUUUGGGAGAGGGAUGCGGAAUUCCAGGUGUAGCGGUGAAAUGCGUAGAUAUCGGAAGGAACACCAGUGGCGAAAGCGGCUUCCUGGUCCAGCACCGACGUCAGGCACGAAAGCGUGGGGAGCAAACAGGG
rnacentral:rRNA from 1 species